rnacentral:misc_RNA from 1 species
GGAAGUAAAAGCGUAACAAGGUUUCCGUAGGUGAACCUGCGGAAGGAUCAUUAUUGUAUAACCGAGGUGCGAGGGCUGUCGCUGACCCGAAAGGUCGUGCACGCCCGAGUGCCCUCACACACAUCCAUCUCACCCCUAUGUGCACCACCGCGUGGGUCCCCCUUUGGCUUGUUCGGAGGGGGGCUUACGUUUUCACACAAACUUUGUAUGCAGUGUAGAAUGUAUUUUUUGUUUUUGCGAUCACGCAAUCAAUACAACUUUCGACAACGGAUCUCUUGGCUCUC